rnacentral:miRNA from 1 species
UGAGGCAGGAGAAUUGCUUGAACCCAGGAGGUGGAGGUUGCAGUGAGCCGAGAUCAUGCCACUGCACUCCAGCCUGGGUGACAGAGUGAGACUCCA